AAUCAUGAGUCAGAAAUUCAAGCCACCAGAUGCUUUCCAACUAACAGGGACCAAAUGGGACCGUUCUAAGAUAUCCUAAAAGAUUUGGGAGUUAGAGGAGGUAAACUAAGAUAAUUAUAUUACAAAGGGUACAAGACCACAAGACAACAACCGACUCCGGAAUUCUUGGACCUCCGCCUUCCGUACAAGGUGCUGGGCCUGGGAACUUGGGAUGGGGGAGGGGGACACAUUGCGCGGUGGCCCUGAGGUGACGGGGAGACGCAGGGCGAGCCGUGUCCCUCAAUCUAAGGGGAGAAAUAGGAGCGCACACAUGGGUCACCCAACGAAGCAAGGCGUCCCUGUGAACUGUGCGGCUGGCUCUUGGGGGCAACACCAGGGCUGACCUGAGGAAAGGGCAACCAGUACUCCCAGCGAUGACUUCG
rnacentral:lncRNA from 1 species